GCGCUCGGGCAAGAUGGCGGCGAGCAGGGCGGGUGUUUUGGCUGGACGGCGGCGGGCGAGGGCAGAGGCGCGCUGGAGUCGAGCAUGUGGGGGCCGCGGUGAGGCGAGGGCCCCGGUUCCUCCCCAGCGCGGGCCGGGGCGUGCGCUCGCCCCUGCGGACGCAGCCUGGAGGAGCGGGGGGGCAGGCGGGCCCCGGAGCGGGAUUAGGGCACGGCGUCGGCGGGAGGACGGCUCCUGAUGCAAUAGGCGUGCCCGAGAGUGCUGGUAGGUCAUGAAGGAGUUUAAAACCUCUGGACCAAAUAGGGUUAAGGUCAACUUGAGUUAGAUACGAUUAGUGCAGCCCCAAGUUAUUUACUUGAGAAUUGUGGCUAGGCAAGCAAGAAGAUGGGUAGAAGACAGAUGCUCCUGGACACCCUGAGGCCUCCCCUGCCCCCAGGCACAGACUGUGGGUACCAGCCGACCUGGGCACCAACUGAUUGGAACCCCCGCUGAGCCCUGCUCCCUCCUGUACAGCUGCCCUAAAGCCAUGAGUUUCCCUGGUGCAGCAUGUGUCGAUGGGUCCUCCAUUGCCUCUGACAUCUCCCCAGGCGCUCGUACGCUGCGCAGGGGUCUGGAUGUUUCCAGCAGCGGCACAGCAGCCUGAUGCCUCCUCUCGUCUGGGAUGCGGGGCCCUUGCAAUAUCCAAGGUAACACAAAUCUGGCUCCAACUGUAAUGUACGUAGGAGACAGCGAGUAUUAAGACACCAAAGAAUUCAAAAUGUUUGAAUCUGGAAGGACGAAAGAACAGCGUACUCAGUGAUCAGCCUUUCAGGUGAAGGAGACAACAGCUGUGGUUUUGGUCCCUGUUCCCUUGAUUAUUUCUGUAUGCAUGGGUUAGUGACUAUCUCAUCUAAUUAAAAAUAAACACUGUGAUCGAGGAUCAAAACUCACAGGUCCCUCUUUUCCUUGACAAAGCCGUAACUAAAUGCUGUUGAAUAUGUGUGAUAUGUUAUGUGCAGAGCCCUUUAAGAUUCCAUCUGAUUUCUUUGAUCUUGUUUUAGGGUGCUUUCAGUGUAUUUCCAGUGAGCUAUAGUUUGCUCAAAUAUGUAUAUGUAUUUAUGUAUAUGUUAACAUAUAUAUGUUUUAAAUUCCUCUUCCCUUUGCAUUACUCUACUGAUUUUUUUUCUUAUAACUGUCUCCCAUGUCAAGAAGAUUUAACAAAAUGAAAAGUAUGUCUUCAUAGGAUAAAGACACAUUUUUGUUAGUUACCGUAAUACAGACAUGAAAGGAAAGAUAAAAGAAAAGAGAAGUAGUUCUUCAGAUAAAGUCCGUUAAGUAUUCAUAAUGUGAUGACAUAGGUGAUUGUGAUAUUAUCUAGACAGAAGAGCUCUGCCGAAGGUAGCUUUCAGACAAUUAUAUUGGUAAAAAGAAAAACUGGUAAAAGCUGAUGAAGUCAUUAAAUUUUCAAAAGUUACAAAUUAUCCUGUAAAGCUUCAGUGACUGCAAAUUAGCCUUUGCUAUAGCCCUCUGCUAACAAGCUAUAGAUCAUUUUAUUAUUCAUGAAUUUUAGUAAUUUCAGGACACCACAGGUCAUCUUAUGCUCAUUUAUUUGCUAAACACCUUGUGCUGGUAUGCCUAUGCUGAAAAAUUGCUACUAUUUACUUCCCGUGAGACAAGCAAGCAACAAACUGGUGGAUUUGGCCCCAGACAUCCACUCUGCCAGGCAACAUAUACAUCUUGCUGUCAGUGAAAUAAAUGAGCCCUUAAAUUGGCUGCAAAGCUUUAAGAGCUGAAAUUUGUAUGUCUAGUUAUCAAACAGAAAGUUCAGAACACCUGCCAAUAUGAAACAUAAUUAUGACAAGCUGUUACAUUUUACCUUUAACUUUUCAGCUUUAACACCACAACUUCAUUAUAAGAAUCUCCUCCUCCCUGCCCCUCCUUUCUCCCUUCCCCCAGACUCAGCUCCCCUCCCAAAAAACGCUCACUGCAUUCCAUUGUAAAUGCUGAGUUAACGCUAAUACACUGGGUCAUCUAUCAGCAGACAAAAAAAAAAGUCAGACAUAUUAAAAAUGCUAGGAUUCCUCCUAAGAAUAACCACAAAUUUUCACAGAUUACCAAAAAUGGCUAACUGUGUGUAGAUACCUGACCUUUAUAACCGCCUUUGAAGGCUUUUCAGAGAAAGUCAAAAAUCAUGAAACAGACUUACAGAUUCCUUGUUUUGUUUUUUACUUGAAAAAAUCGAUUCAAUUACUUCUAUCUUAUUUCACUGACCGACUUCAUUAUCUUUCCUUUUGGGUCGCAGAGCCCUACGGCACAGGUUUUUGCCACAACAAAUCCAACAAUUGAUAAGCUGUUUGCUGUUUAUCCAAAUGUUCAUGGGAGGGCAAAAAAAGAAAAAAGCCACCAAAAAUAAAUGUUACUCUUCUUUAAACCCACUUUAAACUAUGCCCUGUGUGCACUAUAACUAAAUAUCUUCCCUUGUGUGCAUGUAUACCUCUGUGUUACAAACCACAAACAGCUAUGUGAGAAGAACACUAUUUAAAGGAAAGACUUUCUUCUUAGCUGUCAAGGAAGAUAAUAUCUAGGCUAAAAUUCAUUUCAACAUUUUUUAUAGAUAUAUAUAUAUAUAUAUGUAUAUAUACACAUAUACACACAAUAUGUAUAUAUCAAUAUGAAGAGCUUAAAAAUUACAACCCUUGACCAAUUGCACCCUUCUGGUCAAUAAAGUAAAUAUGAGCAAUAUGAGAAACAAAUCAAAUGUAUGAACUUUACCUCUUUUAUUACUUUGACCAUAUUAUUUCUUUUUUUAUAGCACCUGCAUACUGUAUUUUCAUUCAAGAAAUUUGAUUGCGGAUAAAGUAGUCCCUACAUGUCAUAGCAAAAAAAUGACACACUAGCCAAAGUUUAAGUCAAUGUAUUAGUCAAAACACACCUUCUUUUCUUCUUUUUCUGACCUUUUGCUACAGACAUAGAAAUCUCACAUAUAUUUUGGGGUUAACAGGACUUCAGCAGGGCAAUCUGUGUUUUAAGCAGGGUUUCUUGCUGGUUCAGAUAUAUUGUUUGUUCAGUGUUGGGAUCCUAUGUAUUCAUACUGCGUUUUGUGUACUGAUAAUGAAUUAAAACAGCAGAAAAUCAUAUACGUAUAUUUUAAAUGUGACAUGUCUGAUUUCAUUUUAAUGUGAUUUGAAAUAUUUCACCCUGAAUUUAUAAAAAAAAUCAUUAGCACAGCUAUACGCAUUGUCUUUUCAUGAUUUUAAUUUCUUAUUCUUCAAUUAAAAAUAUGCUAAAAGCAGAUUUUGCUUAAAUUCUGAGAUAGUUUGGAUAGAUUUAGGACCAAAUUGUGGCUGCUUUCUGUGUGCAAGCUUUGACUAGAAAGGUGACACAAACAAACAUUUCUACCUGGUUUUCAAGGAUAUGUCAAUAAGGUCUAUUCACACCAGUGCACCAUUUAGCACCACCUGCGUUCAUGGAAAUCCAGAAGUAGCACAUGCCUCUGUUCACAGAAAUCUCAGCCAGCUUUCUCUGAUGCCUCGUACAACCAUCACUGCAGCCACCACUGUCGAGCUAAUUCAACUCUUCCAAAAAUCAGCAACUGCUGAUAAAUUCUUGUCUUAAUAUAAAAGUUGUGUUUCAAUUUUAUCCAUAAUCAUAAUUUUGAGCAUAACAAAAACAAGAGUAAUAUUCAUAUCAAACAUAAAAAGCAUGUGGUGUAUGUGAAUCCUUAUGCCUUAUCUCUGCUGCAUUUACCUAUUGGUAAAUGAUUCUGACUCUCACCUGAGUCAGAACCCAAAUUCGGCAUGUGCUGCUUAUUCGGGUUGUACAUAGAUUUGCUGGGAAUGGUGACAGAAAGGAGAGAAAACAAGGAUUCGCCUGGUCCAGGUUAGAUGUGUUUUGGCUGCCUCCUAGGCGGUGAACCCAGGUUUAGUCUCUGUCAAACACUGGAGUAAAUGGGUCAAAGUGGUGUGUGCCAGACUUGGGAACCAAUUUAAAUUCCCAGAUUAUUUAGGUUAAGUGUAGUCAGACACAUCAGAAGACAGCUGCUUUAGGACUUGUCUCACCUAUCGUUCAACUACUCCGAGUUUCCAGUUCAUGUGUGGUCGUCGACAGUUCAGAUGUCUAAAUUUGUUUUUAUAAAACAAAUCUGAAUUUUUGUAAUAUGAGAGAUUUUACUGUUACCCUGUAAUACAGUAUGGGCAUUGCUAGCUCCUGGCCGUAAGCUUCGCACUGAGUUUGCACAGCCUCGGGACUGAGGCUGGUCAGGCUUGGCCCGAGUUUUGUCUGAACUCGUCUCGCCUGCAGCUCUGCUUCCCUCGACUUAGCUGGGGCAGCAGUUUUUCUAACUGCCCGGAUGGCGAUGGCUAUUUUAUUUUACUUGUGUUUAUCUUUGUACGGUAGAACCAUAGGUUGAUAAACAAACAGGACAACAAAAAAUGCACAUUUAACUUAUGUAAAAGGCCCCAAACACCAGAAAUUCAUAUCCAACACAGAGCUGCAGACCAAUGAAGAAAGAAUGAUGUAAAAGCAUACUAGAAAACAUAUAAAAAUAGCCGCAGAUGAAUCCUAGAGUGAGUAGGAGGAAACCAUCACCAUGAACAUCAUAUUCCUCCCGGCGAAGGAGCCCAGAUGCUGACAGCUCGCUCUAACACCCACCGUCAUCCCGCCAUAAAUGAACCACAGACCUAGGACCUACGGAGCAGCGGAAGGGUGAACAUAAUACUGGGAAAAGAGGUAGAAACUCUGAAGUGUAACAAUUUUAACAGUAUUAUUAUUAUUAUUAUUAUUGAGGCUUUUUUGGUGUAUAGAACACUUCUUCUCAUGUAACAAUUUCUUCUGGACGAAUAACGAUCCUGCAUUUAGACCGUUAAGAUUCCCACUAUAUUAACACUAAAUUCUUGGCUUUAUAUGUAAGGUAUGUUUCCUCUUUGCCCAUAAACAAGAUUUUGAGCAUAACACUAUUAUUUAUUUUGAUCCUAGUAAUAUAUGUUAACAUAUAGGCAAAAUAUCAUAAUUAGCAAAUUAAAAAAGUGUAAGUGGUUGAGAAUAUAGGCAGGAUACAUUUAUAUUCUCUUUUAGGCAUGUGAUCCCUGUCUUUAAACCUAAUGUCAAUCCAAUGUGUUUUGGCUAUUUCAUAUCUGUCAUGAAAAUCUAUAGAGUUUAAUGAGGCUCUGAGAUUCUCUGGAUGAAUAAAAAAAAAAGAAACAUACAGAAAUUACAGUAAAAAAAUCAAAGAAAUCUGAGAAAAGGAAUAAAUGGGCAUGUUAUUGAUUCUGUAAAAACAAAUUGUAAGUGUUUUUUCCUCCCUUGAGUACUGCAUUGACAGAGAAGAACAGAGCAAUAGAAAAGUAUAAAAUAAGCCCUGUAGGUAUCUUUAAGAGUCUACCUUUCUGGUUGAAGAGCAAAAGCUAUAACUGGUCAUUUCCUGUUCUUCUGAAUUUGGCAAGUGUUAUUUUCGGUUUCUGGGUUUUGUUUUGCUUUGUUUUUCCCACAGGGUUGUUUUUUACCUGGGAGGUUUUAGUAAAACUUUUCUCCUUGGGCUUUGGGUUCAACAAUCUAAUGUAAGCUGCCUGGGCUAAGUUUUAUCCUAUGCAACACUUGUAAGUUUGCACUAAAUUUACAGAAUUAAAUCCAUUAGACUCAGUUCUAAAAUAGAAA